AGGACAUCCGUCCCCCCUUGGGACUGCCCAGGUGAGCAACACAGCCCUCCAUCCUCUCUGGCUUUUGGCUGCAUCCAGCUCUGAGUACAGGGGUUGACUUGUCCAAUUCUGUUCCAGUACUAUGUGGACAAAGCAGGGGAGGAAGCAGGCCUCUGGGGCGCUCCCAGGUGCCCAGGCCACACAGACCCUUCCACAAAUGAGGGCUUUGUCCCCUCUCAAGCCAGUAGGGUCUCUGCACCUGCUGUCCCCUCUGGCUCCCCUCCCCCCCACCCCCCGGAUAUUGCAGACCCCACUGCCUUCCCUUCUCAGGCCUUGACCUUCUCAGUGAUGAUUUCAACCCCUCACUUCCUAUCCGCUUUCCUGCCGUUUCCCCUCCUUAGCCACACCGCCUCUAUUCAGCUUGGGGAUCAUCUGUCCUCCUUCCUCCUCUGUUAGAAUACAAGCCCUGCGAGGGCAGAGAGUUUUAUCUGUCUUGUUCCGCUGUAACCCCAGAGUCCAGGACCCUGCCUGACACACAGUAGGCGCUUAGCGAAUAGGUCCUGGAUGAAUGAAGGGGUGUCUGCUGUGUCCUGUCUGGAACUCUUUUUUCUGAUUGUUGUUGCUUCUGCCUGGAGGAGGCAAAGUUAUCAGUCUCAUUUAGAGAGACGGGGGGCCACACAUAGGACCACACUGGCUUUAUUCAAGAGGGACCUAUGCGUUACUGCUUGGAGCCAGACACCGGACAGGGAGCUUACACAGGAUUCUGAAACCCAUCGUGACACUGCACACCAAGGUUAGUAGAUUCAGACUAGGGGACAGGGCUCCUCUCUGUUUUUAUUGAUGUUCCAUUAAAUGUGUGUGUGUGUGUGUGUGUGUGCACAGACACACACAUAUAUGUAUCAUGCAAAGUGAAGUUUCUUUCUCCCCUCUGUCCUCUGUGUUUUAUUUCUCCCCAGAGGCAACCCCGGGUGGCCGUUUCUUGUUUAUCCUUCCAGAGACAUUGCAUGCCUUUAUAGGUACCCCCCACCCUUUUCCCACAAGUCACAGUGCACACUUUUCUUUCACUUAACACUACGUUUGGAGGUACUUCCAGCUCGGAGCAUUAAGCUCCCUCUGAAAAGGCCACUGAGUAUCCCAUUAGGUAGAGAGAACUUAAUGGAAUUAACCCUCCCAUGCCCAGGGACACAAAGGCCGGUUUCAGUCUUUGCCCAUCACAAGCAAUGGCACCGCAUGGUGCGUAUGCCUUGAGAGAGAGGGGAGGAAGGAAGGAAAGAGGGCAAGAAAGAAGAAAGGGGGGGAGAGGAAGGGAGGGAGGAAGAGAGAGAAGAAGGAAGGAAAAAGGAUCCACCUGUAUGGCUUCAGAAUGUAUUUGACAAAUAUUUAUUGGUGCAUAUUUUAAAGCUUCAGACAUGUUGUUAUAAACCCUAGGAGGCUCUUGCCCUUGGAGCCAAUCUAACAAUGAAUCUCAACUCCCUGGAGGGAGGGCGGGGAGUAGGGGCUCUGCUCCCUGCACUUUGAACUUCCCACAGUGGCUGGGUUUUACUUGGAAGCACUCAACCACAGGCUUGGGCGACUCACAAAUACGCAUUUGGGCCAAUGAGGGUUGUGAGUUAGUCGUGAUAUAUUUAGAAUGAGCCCUUUAGUGGUGCCCAGGGCCAGAGAGUAAAUAGCUGCUUGCAGGGGCAUUUAAAGUGAGCAGAGAAAGAGGCUGUAAUUGCAGAGCUCAGGGAAUGCUGUACUUGAGAGCUUUUCUGAAAUGACAUGCUAUUUGACCCAAUAUUUUCCCCAAAUGCAGAGGCCGCUUUGAUCUCUGAGGCUAGCUGUGCUUUUGCACAAUGACUGGCUGGUGGUGGUGCUCUGCCCUCAGAGGAACUGGCCCCAGAGGGCUAGAGGCUGAUAAGCUAGGAGGCCUGGGCUGGGAGUUGGUGGAAGGCGUCUUGGGAUUGAAUUCUCCCACACCAGACAAGGAUUGAGUGCGGAUUGAGUGCAAGCAGAUGAUUUGUGAGAAGUUUCCUGGAAGCAGGAGGAGAGGAGUGGGGAAGGGGGAGAGAGGCAUGGGAAGGAAGCCCAGUCGGGGUGUACCUGGGUGGGUACAGCUGGGGCUCAGGCCGCCGGAGACCCCGGGGGCUGGCACAGAACAUGCUGUAGAGGCUGCUCACCUACGUGUGAGGAAGAUGGGGUAUUUAUUCCACCAAUAUCCGUCCAUCACUGGCUCCCUGGGAGAGGUGGGGGCUCGAGUCCCCAGCCUGCCUUGCAUGAGGCUGGGUCGAAAAGCUGUUGGGAUGGCCUCUAAGAGUUUUAUGGAAAACCUCCCAAUUGAUAAGUAUUGGCAAAAGAUCCCCAUAUCUUUUAAAUAAACGCUACAAGAGCCACACAAAACAAGUUGAACUCCAGGAUGUGGCUUUGUGGACCUCCAGACUGUCACCACUGCUGGGCAGAGGGCAGUACCCCACUGCCCUCCCUCCAAGGGGCUGCAUCCCAGACUGGGAGACCUCCAGACACACCAGAGUCAGAGGAAUCAGAGAGCUCUGAGUGGCUGGCCAUUUUCCUAACUUUGCAGCUCUUCAUCUGCCCCUCUCCACCCCACUUAAAAAAAUUCUAAUGAAUCAGUCUGAACUGGAACAAGAUCUGGAUACUUGAGACUUACAGGGCUGGAACAGAAUGGAAGCAUUCUUUGGAUUGAACUCAAAUAUCCUUUUGUGCGAGCCUCUGAUUGAGGGUAGUAACAAGAAUUACCCUGCAAGCAGCCGGGACAGUAGUUGUUUACAGGUUGUAAUUUAGGUCCCAUUAACAGCUCCUCACCCCAAAAGCUUCACCCCCCACUUCCCCACUGGGGAAAUAAUGCACUAUCACGACAUCAUUCUUCAGCCUAUGACCCAGUGAGAAAUUCCACCAAGUCAGAGCAGGCUGAUAGUUUAGACCCUCCUCAGUUGCUAACACCUCAGUUUCAAUGAGUUUUCCAGAUUAAAAUGGUAUUGCUUUCUACUAACAUCCUUGCAGAUAAAUGAGAUGAUGUUUGGGAUUUGUUUCCGAGUAAUACAAGAGGUGCAGAAUGGGUCAGGUGUAGACAGAACAAGAUUGGUCAUGAACCGACCAUAAUUGAAGUCAGGUCACCAUGGUCAUAUACUACUUUGGCAUUUAUUUACCAUUUCCAAUAAUGAAAUUGGGGGGGGUACUUUAAAACUUAUUGUUUUGUUGGUGAGUGGAUUAAAUGCAAACACCACAGAAUAAGAGCGGAACUGAAUGAUAUGCUGAAGGCAUUCAAUACCUCAGAGUAGGUUUUAUGGAAUGAAGUCAGCUGACACCCUUCACUGCACAUUUUGCUUUGGAGCCUAAAGUAACAUUGACUAUGAUUUGGGAAGUAGCAAACUUCUAGAAGAGAACUUAGGUUUCUGUAUUGGUGUAUAAGCAAAUAUUCUUGGGUGACUCUUGGUGAAAUGUAGCCUCAAAGUCAAUUCUCACAUGGUUCUAGAAUCCCUUGGGAAACACAACACCCUCUAAGGCUGUGGGGUGCCGCAGCUAGCUCACGUCAGCACUCAAGAGCUGAUUGUCAACAUCCCUUCUGAGUUCUAUUUUCAGUAGCUUCAGUUUGGAAGGUUGAAAUUGGUUACAGUGGGAGAAUUUAUGCCAUAGUAGUUGGCAAAUGCUACAUCUUGGGACCUUUCUUUUUGGGGAGCUAGUUGUUGGAUGCGUAUCAGCACACCUCUGCUGUGGGGUCUCUUGUCUUGGGAUGGCUUCACAUAUAGAGCUACCAUCUUAAAGGUCUGUGGACACUUUCUGGAAAUAGAUUGAUGUCAACACUCAUUGGAGCUUUGGCAAAGGGAGGACUGACAGGAAAGGGGACACAGCAGAUUGCCUUCAUUUAACAAGGUGAUGUGUUCAAAUGAGCCCAACCCAUGGUAGAUACCUACUUCAUGUCAACAUACUUCUGUUGAGCAAUACCAAAGAGCUGGGGCAGGUUCUGAAGGAAGUGAUGUACAUAUUUGAAAAGGAUGGUGAUUAGUUUCAUCUGGAGUGUUGUGUUAAGAAGGAUUCUGAGGCCAGUCCGAGCUCAACAGGAAAGAGAAGAGUCAUCUCUUGGUGAUGCCAGGCAUUUGCCACCCUUGACCUACUACUAUGUGCCCUGUCCUCAGCUAGGUUUUUGCUCUCAAGUAGCUUAAAUUCUUGCAACUAGUAAAUAUUUGUUCCUGUGUGCGUUUGUUCAUUUAUUCAUCCUUCCACCCAUCCAUCCACCCACCCAUCUAUCCACCCAUCCAUCCACCCACCCAUCUAUCCACCCAUCCAUCCACCCAUCCACCUAUCCACCCAUCCAUCCACCCACUCAUCUACCCACCCAUCCAUCCAUCCAUCCAUCCAUCCAUCCAUCCAUUCACCCACCCAUCCAUUCUUCUCAGGCUACCUGGAAUGAGUUUAUCAGCAACUUCUUAAGAGGAAAGUGCAGGUAUUUGAAGCAACCAGAUACAAUUAAGAAAAUUCUUUUUGGGGCACCUGGGUGGCUCAUUCAGUUAGGCAUCCGACUUCGGCUCAGGUCAUGAUCUCGCUGUCUGUGGGUUCGAGCCCUGCAUCAGGGUCUGUGCUGACAGCUCAGAGCCUGGAGCCUGCUUCAGAUUCUGUGUCCCCCCGCCACCUCUCUGUCCCUCCCCCGCUUGUGCUCUGUCUUGUUCUGUCCGGAGACACAGAAUCCAAAGCAGGCUCCAGGCUCUGAGCUGUCAGCACAGAGCCCAAUGUGGGGCUCGAACUCACGAACUGUGAGAUCAUGACCUGAGCCAAAGUCGGAAGCGUAACCAACUAAGCCACCCAUGCGCCCUGCAACCAGAUACAAUUUUAAAAUCUGCUUUUUGAUGGUUUUUCAUCAUCUACUUUCCCUUUUCCUGCAAAUAAUACAUACCCACUUUUCUUUGGAGGGCCCCCUCCUUACCUCUCAGUGCACCUCUGAUUCCAGGAUGGUCAAUCAGCACAUCAAGGCUCUUGACCACAGUGAUUGGUUCAAGUUGAACACCUGACACAGGUUAGUCUAAGGAAAGCCCACCCUGGAAACCUACAUUGGUAAAGAGGCCCACUUUUUUGGCUGAGAUUGACUUGUUCUAUCGGUGGCCAUGUUUUUCUAUUACAUGAAGAGAACUAGCUUGAAAGUGCAGAGAUAAAGGCAAAGAUGAAAAAUGAAGAGAAUUGGAGCCUCAUAAUAUUUUUGAGCACCCAGAACCUACUAUUCCUGAAACCAAUACCUCUAGAUUUCUCAGGUGCACAAAUCAAUGAAUUUGUUGUGUUGUUAUUAAAGCUACUUAGAAUUGGAUUUCUGUAUUGUUCUCAAAGAGUCCUAGUGAUACCCUGCAUUGAUACCUCCAGAGGACCCAAAGCCAUGUAGAUGGUCAUCACCCCUACCUAGUGAGUAAUAAAAGUGGUUUGUCUCCAAUUAGCCUGCUGUCUAGAUAGUAGAGAAAUUUUCACCAGUCCCUACAGGAAGACCGUACAUUGUGGGAUUUCCUGGCUCUGAUUUUUAUAGGUGGAGGAGGCCUGCCAUGCCCCAGAUUCAGUGCUGGCUUUGUAUGGGUGCAACACUAACCGCAACCACUGGCUGCCCAAAGGAAGUGUGCCAAGGAAGUGAGCUUCCUAGUCUGUAGCAUAUGUCCCUGGGGUAGAGUGUGAACAAGGCUUGAGAAAGCUCUCAGUGUUUGCUACUGGGUUUCCAACCCCGGAGAGAUUCCAGGGAACAGACAAGGAGAUGGGGUGUUUGGGAAGCUGAACAGGGGCCAUAAAUAAAUGAGCAAAACAACAUGAUUUAAAGUGACUUCUAGGCCGGGUGGGAAAGCUAAUUGUUUGCUUAUCCCUAGCAGGUCUAUUUGCUCUCUGAGAUUUCCCAUACCAGCUUCAUUGUCCUUGGGGCCACACGAUGAACAGUUCAAAGAGAGAUGGGGUGCUGAGCCGAGAGGGACUCUGUGGGGCUGAGUUAGAAUCUCUGGGUUUAAGGACUGAUUCUAUGUUGUGUGACUUUGGCCAGCAAGCUUGCUGUGUCCUUCUCAUUGAGGUGGGAGAGUAUUUUCCUCAUUCCCAUUGCUACCAGUCACACCUUCGCCUCAUCCUUGCUUACCUGGAUCAUUCCAUCACCCCCUAACUGGUUUCCUCCCCUCCACUCUGAUCCCUUAGGGCUCUUCACACAGCAGCUGACCUGACAUUUCCUAUAUACAUAGCCUGUUGUGCCAGGCUCCCAUGGGAAGCCCUUCAUCAGACUCUCAAACCACUUUGAAGAACUCCUUGAUGGGACCUACAAAGGGCAACACAGACCUACCUUACGACCUAGUGGUUCCACUCCCAGGCAUACGCCCAACAGAGAUGGGUGCCCAGCACCACUGAAAGACAGCCGAGAGUGUUCACAGCUGCUUCAUUCCUAAUAGCCCCCAACUGGAGCCACCCAACUGUCCAUCCACAGGAGAAUAGAUAGGCAUGUCACAGUAAGAUUACACAGUAGAAUACUACACGGCCACACAUGUAUGACCUGCCCUACAUGUGGCAAAAUGAGUGAAUCUUACAGAGACAAUGUGGAGUGAAUGAAGUCAGACGUAAGUGAGCCCAGAGUCCUACGACCUCAUUUAUUUGAAGAUCAAAAUUAGGCAAAGCAAUCUUUGGCAAUGUAAGCCAGGACAGUAGUUAUUUUCAGGGGCUAUUGACUGGGAAGGGCACAGGGGAGCUCUCUAGGACACUGGAAAU
rnacentral:lncRNA from 1 species